GGAACUGCCAACUGCUUUCCAAAGCGACAGUGGAGAUUCUGUUUUUUAAGAAUCAGAUCCACGAAUUUUGGAUAUGUCACACGAUUGACUUUUUCUUCCUUUUCAACAGCUACAGAUUUCAAUGAGGACAAUAAAGGAGCAUAAGAUCGAGAGCAGGUUUCACUGAGCACGGCUUCUUCAUCAAAGAAGAUUAUGUCAACAAUAUUUUAUGACUCCUGAUACUGUAACUUGAAAAAGUAAAUAGUGAAAGUACUCCGGAUAUGUUGGAAGUUCUUUUGCAACCUGGAGAAUACCUGAGAAGAGUCACUGCCACUGUGGUACAGAAACUGUAUGCCAAUUCAGUUGGCAUGCAGGGAGUAAUUGAAUUGACCUGGAUAUAUGGAAUCUUGGGUGGAGAGAGUGAAUGAUGAGAAAACUAUGAGAAAAUCUCUUGGGCUUGCUUCAGAGGCUGCUGUGUGCAGAACAGAGAGAGAAGGUGGUAGCUUACUCUGGUCCUCAGGGCAACAGCCAUUGCAUGGAGGAAGAAAAGAGGGGCUGUGGCCAGUCCUGAAUCUGGGAAGGUGUUGUCCAGAAUUCCUGACCACCACAGAACAUCCCUUCCUGAUGUGUGAGGUGGAGCUAUGUGGCCUGAG
ensembl:lncRNA novel transcript